GACGAACGCUGGCGGCGUGCCUAAUACAUGCAAGUUGAGCGAUGAAGCUUGGUGCUUGCACCAAUUUGAAGAGCAGCGAACGGGUGAGUAACGCGUGGGGAAUCUGCCUUUGAGCGGGGGACAACAUUUGGAAACGAAUGCUAAUACCGCAUAACAACUUUAAACAUAAGUUUUAAGUUUGAAAGAUGCAAUUGCAUCACUCAAAGAUGAUCCCGCGUUGUAUUAGCUAGUUGGUGAGGUAAAGGCUCACCAGGGCGAUGAUACAUAGCCGACCUGAGAGGGUGAUCGGCCACAUUGGGACUGAGACACGGCCCUAACUCCUACGGGAGGCAGCAGUAGGGAAUCUUCGGCAAUGGACGAAAGUCUGACCGAGCAACGCCGCGUGAGUGAAGAAGGUUUUCGGAUCGUAAAACUCUGUUGGUAGAGAAGAACGUUGGUGAGAGUGGAAAGCUCAUCAAGUGACGGUAACUACCCAGAAAGGGACGGCUAACUACGUG
rnacentral:rRNA from 1 species